UACGGAGGGUGCGAGCGUUGUCCGGAAUCACUGGGCGUAAAGGGCGCGUAGGUGGCGGUCCAAGUCAACGGUGAAAGCUCGGGGCUCAACCCCGAGUCGGCCGUCGAUGACUGGGUUGCUUGAGCACUGUAGAGGCAGAUGGAAUUCCGGGUGUAGCGGUGGAAUGCGCAGAUAUCAGGAGGAACACCGGUGGCGAAGGCGGGUCUCUGGGAAACAACUGACGCUGAGGAACGAAAGCGUGGGUAGCAAACAGG
rnacentral:rRNA from 1 species